rnacentral:rRNA from 1 species
AGGACGAACGCUGGCGGCGUGCUUAACACAUGCAAGUCGAGCGGUGAUCCUCCUUCGGAGGUGAUCAGCGGCGAACGGGUGAGUAACACGUGGGCAACCUGCCCCUCACACUGGGAUAACCUCGGGAAACCGGGCUAAUACCGGAUACGACCUCGAGCGGCAUCUCUUGAGGUGGAAAGCUCCGACGGUGAGGGAUGGGCCCGCGGCCUAUCAGCUUGUUGGUGGGGUAAUGGCCUACCAAGGCGACGACGGGUA